GCCCACGUUCCCAGGCCCGCUCUGCCUGCCUCUGAACCCAGCUUCCCCGCAGACAACGGAGGUGGCCCAGGCCCUGUGCAGUAUCUGUCCCCGUCUAGGGGAGGAGCUGGGAACACAGCGCAUGAGGAGGUCGAGCCAACUUCCCAGAAUAGGCCCCGAAGCUCCUCCCAAGCAAACAGAAUGCAGAGAAGCCAGCGUUCCCAAGUUCAAGGCCAAGGCAGGGCGGCGGUCCCUGUGGAGGGAACUUCCUCAGGCCAAGGAUCAGCAAAAUCUGGAAGAAUCUGCCUGGAAGCUGAUUUCCCUGGUUUCUGUCCCAGAGGUCAGCUCUCUAUCCCCACUCUGAUCCCAAUACAACAAAACAGGAUGGAUGAAUUCCCCUGAUGUUCUAGGCGCAGGCAAGUAUUUUCCACGGUGUGAACCUCUCUCCCCUACAGACUUGAUCUCACAACCUUCCCCCUUUCAGAGACAAAUGGUUUAUGAAGCUGCUUCAUACUAAUAUGUGAACAACUGCCUACUGACUUUAGCCUGCCCUGUGUACUUGACUAUGAACUCCUGGAGCCCAGGGACUGUCUCAUUCCUCUUCGUGGUUGCAGUGCCAAGUACAAGGCUCGGUACAGAGUUGGUGUUGUGUGGAUAAUCAUAAAGAAGACAGAAUAGCAAUAAUGAAUCAUAACAGGUAACAAUGGCUGGAUGUUUUCUAAAAGCCACAGAGUCAGCUAAGGGCUUUAUGUAUGUUGCCUUAUCUCAUCUUCACCUUGUGUGGUAGGUACUGUACUUAUUCCCAUUUUACAGAGGAGGAAACAGGCUCGGGGAGAUGAAAUAACUUAUAACACCUCCUCUUCCCAAAUGUCUUUAAUGAUGAAUUUUUGGCUUCCAUGAGUGUGGGUUUUUUUGUUUCUUUUUGUUUUUUUUUUUUGUUUUUUUUCAGGAAGUCCCCAAAUCCAAAUCAGAGUGACUCGGGAGAGGACCGGAAGGCGUCAACCAAAUCCCGAUCAAAGUGACUUGGGAGAGGGCCGGAAGGCGUCAAUGGAUGGGGUUUUCCUCCCUGCCUUCUCUCCCGCUCCCACCUGCCUGGUGAAAAUAUAGGCGCCCCUGGGACUCCCAGCUUCAGGGCGGGCCUGGAAAGGGCUCAGGGAAGCCAAGCCUUUGCUGGAGGGUAGGGAGCCUCACUUGGGUUUGCCUGAAGCCCCUAUUUUUCAGAGGCCCCCUGUCUGCCCUCCUCGUGGCUCAGGGCCCCUCAGUGAAGGGGCUCAGUGUGCGCAGGGUCGGUCUCUCCCAUCAGACGGCACUCUACAAGACCAGGAUCUGUAGUUCACCAGCGGGUCCCCAGGCAGGUAGGUACACAGGGCCUGGUGCUAUUUGCUCCAGGAGCUGGCCCUGGAGCCCAGUGACGCCCAGUUCCAGCUUUCUCAGCAGCCUUAAAGCUGGGAGGAAGAUUGUAACCAGGUUGGCCUUCGCCUAGACUUCUCGUUAAAAGGGAAGCCCGCAGAGAAGGGACACAACCACAGGACGCAGGUACAUGCAGAGGCUGCCACCAGCCGCUAGCCACAGCCUCCACACUCAUCUCCAUCACCUGGGUCCUGGCUCCCCUCCUCCAGGAAGCCCUCCCUGGUGCGCCCCACCCACAUGCCCUGUUAUACCGGUCGCUUGGGUUCCAGGAAGCUCGGGGCGGUCACAGCUCUGGGGAGAAGAUGGGAGAGCAAGAGUUAGGCUUCUUUAGGAUUCAGAACUGGGCUUUCAGUUCCAGGUCAUGGUUUCUGUCCUCUUCUCCCCUCUUCUCACGAAGAGGCUCUCUCAGUCAUCCUUGCUUUUCUAUCUUUUUUUCCCUUCUUUUCUCUUCUUGCCUCAUUCCCCUCUUCCUUCCAUCUCCCCCUCAUUUCCUUCCUUCACUCCAGCACUUUUUCAUGGAAGACUUGAGGCCACUUUUGCCUUCAGCCCACCUCCAGGCCUCUGGGCGUUCAGACCGGCCCGAGGUCGGCUCACUGGGUUGAGUAGUUCAGUGCCAGCCUUGGGCUCUGUGGGUCUUCCUCUGGGCUGAGUGUCGGGGCGGAGCGGCCUCAUGGUGACACCCAACAACCCCACCCUCGCCACCCACCCCGCUGGGCCAGCGCUGGAAGCAAGACACCGCCACCCCCUCCACCCUCCUCGCAGCAAGUGCAAGAAGAAGUCAGGGGCCAAGGAAAGCGCCCUGGAGUAGGCGUCUCCAUUCCCUGAGUGCGUGGCCCCAGAGGUAUCCCCAGACACAGCUUGCAUCCAGCAAAUGCUUGCUGAGUGGCUGAAUGAACACCACAGACUGAAGUCCUGUCUGGCUGCCUCAUUUCAGAGACACCCCUUCACCUCUCUGAGCCUCAGGACCCUCGGUUAAGACGAGGAGGAGUUGCCCGACCCUGUCCACCCCCUCGAGGCAGCUGAGAGGAGCAGGCUCAGCCAGAUGGUGGGAGCAGGGAAAUGCCGCCGAGCUGCACGCUCCUGGUCUAUUUUGAGAAGCCUCCUGUUUCCUCUGCUGCCUGGGGCCAUGUGGUGGCUGCAGCUCCUAUUACCUGAUUGACCCACAGAGUCUGCCCACCCAGCUCUUCUAUAUCACUUCCAUCUCCUCUUCGGCUGUGCUGGUCCAACCUCUCCCGGGGCGCUGCCAGACCUUCUUGCUGGCUUUGCCGCCUCUGUUCUCCAUCCCUCUAGAGCCAAGGGCAUCUUUCUAAAU